CCAACUUAAUCAAUCUGUAUGGUAAUGGCGAGCCAAGGCUAUCAUGCAGCAUUAAAAGAAAGCUUUUGACCUCAGGCAUGCUGGGGCACCACAACUGCUAAUCUACACGAUUUUGGGACUUUUGAAUUUUGACUCUAUAACCUUCCACCCUCCAAACCUCUGUACACUGCGUGAAGAGCAUUUCCCAGCACUGAACCUGGUUCAUUUGUGGCUCCCUGCUAGACACAUCCAAUUUCUCAUGUCCCGUGACACACAAAACUAUCAUCCUUCAUCUUCUCUAUCUGGCUUUUCUAAAACAUUUGUUCCUGUUGUCGCACACAAGCACACAAAGAGCAUCGACUGGGCCUUGAUAAGUUAAUCCUGCCAGCAUGGCUGCCUAAUGCCUUCUUCUGUCUUUCUCUUACCUGUAGACCAGAUGCCACUUCCAAUAUAAUCUUGGAAGUUCCAAGCUUUACAUCCUGCGGACUAUUUAAGAAUCAAAGGCACCGGAAGUCAGCGUUAAUUAACAAACCUGGAACAGAAGAAGACACAACUCCACAGAGGGAAGUGAUUUUCUCAAACGACACGAGACCAUAAUAUAUUUGGUCUUUUCUGAUUUUCCUUUCAUUAAAUUUGGUACCCAGUCGGCUCCCAACCCUUUAUCAUGUUUCUAUUGUUUAAUCCCUAACACUAUCUAUUAGUGUGCUUUUGACCUGUUUUGGACCUGUUUCAACUCCUGAUUCUCAAUUCAAUCACUAUGUGGCAAGAAGUAGACUUUGAAUCCAGUGUGGGAGUUAUUUUAGAGUAACAUCUUGGAAUCAGCCUUCAGAAGGUAAAGGAAUACCAGGCCCAAAGAGUUUUCUGGUGGCCACUGAAGUCUGAGCAUUUUUUUCAUGGACCAGACCUUCACUUCUGUUUCCACAUUGUCUGUUCUAUGUUUUGGAAACUGGGUCUUACUUGUAUGAAGUAGAAAAACUUUAAAGUAUCUAUCUAUCUAAAGUCCCCUAUGAACAUGGAGGCUUUUAACUGACCGUAUGGUACCUGUCAGAAACCAGUAUUUCAUCCAUCCCUGGUCAGGCUCAUCUGCAGUACUUUUAAGAACUUUUUUUUUUUCAGUAGACUUGUGAACUUUCUUCUAUGGCAUCAAAAUCCGUUUCUCAGUUUUUCCAUUGGGUGUUCCUGAUCUGUACACUUCACGGCACCCUCUGCACUGUUAUAGUUUACCAUCUCCUGGAAGUCAAAACCCCUCUGUAAUCGCACCCUGGUCACCUCUGUGUGUCUCUCUUUGUGAGUCCCGUGUUAAGACCUUCCCUAUCAGCUGCCAUUUUGUUUCUGGGCAGUUCUACACAUCUUUUAAUUGGACCUCUGCACUAAGUUAGCAGUCUGUUAUUUCAGAGGUUAUAUUUUGUCAAUGAAGAAACACGACCACCAAAAUGUAAUUUGUUUUUUAAAGGAAUUUAACACUUUUUGUAUUUUACAAUGAAGGGUGAAUUAACGUGCAUAAAUAUGCUUGUUAAGAGUUUGGUUGUUUGUAUACUGUAAAUCAAAUAGUGUCUUUUUGUCUAUUUAUCUAUUACUCUGUCUUGCAAACAGGUUUAGAUGCAUCUGUGUGAAAUUUAAAGGGCAUCUGUGGAAUAAGUCCAAGCUAGAAUAUAGGAUAUUAAAAUUCUGAGUUAGUGGAAAGAUUUAUUUUAAAUAUGUAACCUGAUAUUUGUAUUAUUGAAGCUAAAACUGAAUGUGACAGAUUAGCAGGAAGCAGUAAUUAACAGUGUUCUCCAAAGCCAUUUUUAUGACUUGAAAUCUAAGAACUGUCAUGAAGUUGUGACAUGAGUUACUUGUGUCAUGAGUAGCGAUGAGCGAACCCUGCUGAAUUUGCUUUGGCUCAAGUUCAUCAUAAGGGCAGAAACAUUCAGGAAUUUCGUCAAACUUGGUGAAAUGCAUUGAAGUCAAUGGGGUGGGAAAAACUGAACAGGUUUUAAGUGGAUUAUAAUGGUUCAAUUGUCUUUUUUAAGUGAAGUGAAGGCCCGGAAAGCAUCUGCCAACUAUGCUGGACCAGAAUGCGAGGCAGCGUUGCUAACCACUGCACCACCAUGCAUCCCAGAGAUGAAAUUACACUUCAGGUCCGCAAAACUACUACACAGGGAGGGCUCUGCACAGCGCUGGAUCUCCCCACUUCGACUGUUACAUUGAAGUCACUGAGGCUGUUUAGUUAAGACCAGAAUCUCGGGAACAAAAAGAGUAACACAUCUAAUUACCAUGUGGUUCCUGGAACGUACCACAGGAGGAUAUUUUGAACUAUGUAUGUAACAGGAAGUGAUUCUUACGUUUACAUAAUACCCUGCAAGAAAGACGUAUGCAAGGAAGAUCAAAAUCGGGAGACUCUUUAAAGAAUGAUGAAAAAAGAAGCAUGAAAUGACAUUUCAUCAUGAUGAACAGAAGGGUAUGAGAAAGCCAAGAGAAAGAAGAAGGACUGUCCGACGUCUUCUACCAACCUGAAAUCUGUUUAGGCACGAGGUACAUCAGAAUCAACUCUCAGCAGCGGCCACCAGGGAGGCUGUGUAGCCCAUGCAUACGGGCGCCAUUCACAUCCCUACCACCUUCGCCGUCACUUCCUCUACCUCUUCAUAUCUUAAAUCAUUCUUGAGGCACAUUGAAGACUUACGUGCCAGCUUAAGGAAAAUGUACUAAGUAACUGCAACACAAACACUGACUUAAUCAGUUUUAACACAAAAAGAUGCCAAUGAAAGAAGAGAAGAAGCGGGCCAUUAAGGUGGAGAAAUGAAGAGCUGUGCAGGAAACGCAUCAAACUCUGA